GAUGAACGCUGGCGGCGUGCCUAAUACAUGCAAGUCGAGCGAACAGACGAGGAGCUUGCUCCUCUGACGUUAGCGGCGGACGGGUGAGUAACACGUGGAUAACCUACCUAUAAGACUGGGAUAACUUCGGGAAACCGGAGCUAAUACCGGAUAAUAUAUUGAACCGCAUGGUUCAAUAGUGAAAGACGGUUUUGCUGUCACUUAUAGAUGGAUCCGCGCCGCAUUAGCUAGUUGGUAAGGUAACGGCUUACCAAGGCAACGAUGCGUAGCCGACCUGAGAGGGUGAUCGGCCACCCUGGAACUGAGACACGGUACAGACUCCUACGGGAGGCAGCAGUAGGGAAUCUUCCGCAAUGGGCGAAAGCCUGACGGAGCAACGCCGCGUGAGUGAUGAAGGUCUUUGGAUCGUAAAACUCUGUUAUUAGGGAAGAACAAAUGUGUAAGUAACUAUGCACGUCUUGACGGUACCUAAUCAGAAAGCCACGGCUAACUACGUG
rnacentral:rRNA from 1 species